rnacentral:rRNA from 1 species
AUUGAACGCUGGCGGCAGGCUUAACACAUGCAAGUCGAGCGGGGAAAGGUAGCUUGCUACCUGACCUAGCGGCGGACGGGUGAGUAAUGCUUAGGAAUCUGCCUAUUAGUGGGGGACAACAUCUCGAAAGGGAUGCUAAUACCGCAUACGUCCUACGGGAGAAAGCAGGGGACCUUCGGGCCUUGCGCUAAUAGAUGAGCCUAAGUCGGAUUAGCUAGUUGGUGGGGUAAAGGCCUACCAAGGCGACGAUCUGUAGCGGGUCUGAGAGGAUGAUCCGCCACACUGGGACUGAGACACGGCCCAGACUCCUACGAGAGGCAGCAGUGGGGAAUAUUGGACAAUGGGGGGAACCCUGAUCCAGCCAUGCCGCGUGUGUGAAGAAGGCCUUUUGGUUGUAAAGCACUUUAAGCGAGGAGGAGGCUACCGAGAUUAAUACUCUUGGAUAGUGGACGUUACUCGCAGAAUAAGCACCGGCUAACUCUGUG